AGGGGAGGAGCGGCUAAAAAGGUAAAAACCAGAAGACUUCAGGCCUUUUCUUUCCUCCCCAUCUCGUUUUUGUUCUUACGGUAAAUAUAUGAGACAGAGAUGUGUAAGAAAAUGCAAGAAGCCACCCGUGUGUUCUUGGGCCAGAAAUGGCCCCAGCUCUAGGAAAAAGCAGUGAGCAGAGAUCUGAAUGAAUGAAGGUUUUCUUAAAGUCACAUCCUGCACUCCCACACCCUUGAAAAGGAGGAAUCUCUGCAGCCAUGUUGGUAUCAUGUGACCGCCACACUUUCAGGUCACAGCUGAUUGGACGUAGGGUGUGUACACGUGACCCAGGGAGAGCCAAUCAGAAGCUGAGCUAAGUCAGGCCCCCCCCUCUCAGGAAUCUGGUCCUGGGAUCAAGAGGUCAGUUGGGCAAUGUGGUCUCAGGGAUUAGGUGACCAUUUUGAGGUCGUCAGGAUGGGCCAUAGGCGAGUGAAGUGGAGGAAGCUGCUCUUCCAAGAGAGAAUGAAGAUAACUGCUCAAAGAGGCAGCCGUGGAAAACAGACCUUAGAGACAGCUGCCUCCUGGUGACUCGUGGGCCCGAGGUCCGUAGGAAGCCCACUGUCCUUCUGCCCUUCGGUUCCGUUAGAGAUGCUGUGUCCUCCCAAUACAUCCGCCUUGUUGGCUUCAAUCCUGAAUUUAACUGAAAUCCCGGAAGAUGGGGACUGCCUUUACAGUGCUGGGCCCCCAGGUGGUACUCCACACCCCUCCUGCCCUUGAUUCUGGUUUCUGCUUUCCUGGGACCGCUUACAGCUCUGGCGAAGGGGAGCCACCAGCAGGUAACUGAGGCAAAAGACCGCACUGAACAUGACUGUGACUGCAGGGUAGAGCGUUGCCUGGUGUGUGUGGCUGAGUCAGCUGGAUCCAUCCAUUCCACAAAUGCUACUGAGCUCCCAUUAUAUGCCAGGCACUGGUUUAGGCUCUGUGCUGCAGCAGUGAAGCUAAACCCUGCUCUCCAUGGGAAGGGUUCUUGCUCAGGCUCUGUUUCCCAAAGCAGGUCCUGUGACCUUGGGUGACAGUUGAGUCAGCUGGAUCCAUCCAUUCCACAAAUGCUACUGAGCUCCCAUUAUAUGCCAGGCACUGGUUUAGGCUCUGUGCUGCAGCAAUGAAGCUAAACCCUGCUCUCCAUGGAAGGGUUCUUGCUCGGGCUCUGUUUCCCAAAACAGGUCCUGUGACCUCGGGUGACAGUCGCCCUCGGGUGACAGUUGCCCUCGGGUGAUCAUUCUGGACUGAGUACCUGAACUGGGUGUGAUGCAUUUGAAAGCCGCAGGGUAGCCAUGUGCACAGAGAGGGAUGGUCUGCCAGAGGAGAUGAAUGAAGCACAAGGUCACAGAGGAAACAGCCCUGCACAGAAAGACAUAGAUUAGCUGCUUUGUGGUUCCUGGCCCUGGACCCUGGCCACACACCGUGCCCUUUGGGUCUGUGCAGUGCCCCUGUAUGCUUUCAGUAAAUCCUCUCUUUGCUUAAGCAAGUUGGAGUGGGUUUCUGUUACUCGAUGCCACAUGUCCUGAGACGACUCAGUUCUGGAUGGAUAAGCAUGAGAUGGUAAAGCCAAAAUAAAUCUGCAAGGGAGCUGCGAUACUGAAAAUGGGACGCAGCUGUGUCACUGGAAAUGGACGGAUAGAUUGAACCACGGGCUCUAAAGGGCAGCACACGAAAAGCCCUGCUGAGGAUUAAUGGGCUCAUUUCUUGCCUUAAAGGGCCUGACAAGGACCAUUUAGCUCCCAGGAUGAGUCGUGCUGAGAGUUCCAGUGUGGAGCGAGGGAAGGCCAGCCCCGACUCUGUCUGCAGGUGUAGAAUGUGAGAGAAGCGCUUUCCACCUAAGUCCCAGUCUCUCCACCAGCAAGAUGGAGGUCGCGAGUUUUGCAGCAGGUGCCUGAGACAACACAGGUAAAGUGCUCACGCAGUCCCUGGCAUGGAGACAGCGAGAGGCACGUGGCGGCUGUGACUGACGCACAGUCUGAGGGAGAGCAGGCCGGAGAUCCAGGCGCUUUUCCAGGCCUGCGCCUCACACCCAUUUCUAAAAGCGUGUUCUAAGAAAAUUCACCAGGCGCCACAAGUUUGGGAGGAAUCUUCGAGGAAAGCCGGCUUCAGGAAACAUGGGGAAAGAAGAACAAGUUAAUUGAAACCACGAAGAAGCAAUCGGCCCAAUCCAGGAUGUGCAUAUUUUAUCGGACAAAGCACCCAGUUUCUACAACAAAUCAGCGGUGAGGCAAUCGAGUCUCAGACAAAGUAAAACAAACCCAGCCCACCCCAGGCGGGACCAGCACACUUGGCAGUUUGCCAACAGAAUGUACAGACUGAUGCCCUGGCAAAGCACAGGGAACUCUGGGAAACUGCCUUUGAAGACUGAUUUGCAAGAAAAGUGAAUGCCCCGAACCAGCAAUAAAGAGCCCAGGGUUGGUGGUUGUUUAUUCCAAGGAGAGGAAACAUCAAGUGCAAAGGCCCUGCGGCAGAAACACGCCUGGGAAGCUGAGCCCA